CUUUGGCUGUGCCUUCUGCGGUGGCUCUUUGUAGACUAUCGGUCUUCGCGUUCCUAUUUAUGUUUUUUCUUCUUUUCGUGUU
rnacentral:rRNA from 1 species